rnacentral:rRNA from 1 species
GACAGAGGUGCCGAGCGUUAGGCGGAAUCACUGGGCUUAAAGCGUGUGUAGGCGGGUCGGUAAGUGGCUUGUGAAAUCCCACGGCUCAACCGUGGAACCGCUGGGCAUACUGGCGGCCUUGGGCCACCCAGGGGCAACCGGAACAGGCGGUGGAGCGGUGAAAUGCGUAGAUAUCGCCUGGAACGCCGACGGUGAAAACAGGUUGCUGGGGGUGUGCCGACGCUGAGACACGAAAGCCAGGGGAGCGAACGGG